GACGAACGCUGGCGGCGUGCUUAACACAUGCAAGUCGAACGAAUUGGCGAACGGGUGAGUAAUACGUGGGUAUCCUGCCCUCCUUUUUGGGUAACGCCAAGGGAACGGGGUCUAAUACCGUAACAAGGGGGAUGGGCUUGGGGCAUAUCAGCUUGUUGGGGGGGUGAUGGCCUACCAAGGGAGUGACGGGUAGCCGGCCUGAGAGGGUGACAGGCCACAUGGGGAGUGGGAUAAGGCCCAGAAUCCUACAGGGGGGAGAAGUGGGGGAUAUUGCGCAAUGGGCGAAAACCUGAUGCAGGGACAGCGCGUGGGGGAUGAAGGCUUUCGGGUUGUAAACCUCUGUCGCUAGCGAAGGGGUAGGUGGAGAAGAAGAGCCGGCUAACUACGUGCCAGCAGCCGCGGUAAUUC
rnacentral:rRNA from 1 species